rnacentral:rRNA from 1 species
CCUACGGGCGGCUGCAGUAGGGAAUCUUCCGCAAUGGGCGAAAGCCUGACGGAGCAACGCCGCGUGAGUGAUGAAGGUCUUCGGAUUGUAAAACUCUGUCUUCCGGGACGAACUGAUAGGUGAGGAAAUGCUCCUAUCCUGACGGUACCGGAGGAGGAAGCCCCGGCUAACUACGUGCCAGCAGCCGCGGUAAUACGUAGGGGGCAAGCGUUGUCCGGAAUUAUUGGGCGUAAAGAGCUUGUAGGCGGUUCGUCGCGUCUGGUGUGAAAGCCCAUCGCUUAACGGUGGGUCUGCGCCGGGUACGGGCGGGCUAGAGUGCAGUAGGGGAGACUGGAAUUCCCGGUGUAACGGUGGAAUGUGUAGAUAUCGGGAAGAACACCAAUGGCGAAGGCAGGUCUCUGGGCUGUUACUGACGCUGAGAAGCGAAAGCGUGGGGAGCUAACAGGAUUAGAUACCCGGGUAGU